rnacentral:rRNA from 1 species
GAUCCUGGCUCAGGAUGAACGCUGGCGGCGUGCUUAACACAUGCAAGUCGAACGGACUUAUACGCUUCCGAAGCUUCGGCAGAGGAUUGUAUAAGUUAGUGGCGGACGGGUGAGUAACGCGUGGGUAACCUGCCGUAGUACAGGGGGAUAACACUUAGAAAUAGGUGCUAAUACCGCAUAAGCGCACAGUCUCGCAUGGGACAGUGUGAAAAACUCCGGUGGUAUACGAUGGACCCGCGUCUGAUUAGCUAGUUGGUGAGGUAACGGCCCACCAAGGCGACGAUCAGUAGCCGGCCUGAGAGGGUGAACGGCCACAUUGGGACUGAGACACGGCCCAAACUCCUACGGGAGGCAGCAGUGGGGAAUAUUGGCACAAUGGGGGAAACCCUGAUGCAGCGACGCCGCGUGAGUGAAGAAGUAUUUCGGUAUGUAAAGCUCUAUCAGCAGGAAAGAAAAUGACGGUACCUGACUAAGAAGCCCCGGCUAACUACGUGCC